UACGUAGGGUGCAAGCGUUAAUCGGAAUUACUGGGCGUAAAGCGUGCGCAGGCGGUGAUGUAAGACAGAUGUGAAAUCCCCGGGCUCAACCUGGGAACUGCAUUUGUGACUGCAUCGCUAGAGUACGGUAGAGGGGGAUGGAAUUCCGCGUGUAGCAGUGAAAUGCGUAGAUAUGCGGAGGAACACCGAUGGCGAAGGCAAUCCCCUGGACCUGUACUGACGCUCAUGCACGAAAGCGUGGGGAGCAAACAGG
rnacentral:rRNA from 1 species